AAGCAUGUGGCAGCACAGAGUCUCUCUGAACCUAUUCUGAUUCUGGUGGCUGCUCAAUUUGCAAAUCAUUCCCCAACAGAUGGUAUCAGAAGUGGGACCUGCAGUGGGGCAUCUAGCAACCCCCAGGAGCAUUGAGUGACCAGGCUUGGGACCCACCGGGCGCAGGGUGUCCAUUGUUCUCUCGAAGCAACUGAGAAUUGUGGAUAUUCUUCAUUAUUCCAUCAUCAUCUCAAACCUCUUGGGUAUAGUGUUUGACUACUACUGUGACCAUAAAUUCCAAUAAAACCUAGGAAAAAUGAAACCACUACAUUAACUGAAAGGAAGGAAGAUGAUUCCAAGUCAUGUUAUUUCCAAGGAAGCAACAAUAACUUCACUGGACCCCUGCUGAUCUUAAAGUGCAGCAUGAAAAACAGUCUUGGAGACUUCUAGAGAUGUCCAAAGUAUGCCUACGGGGAGCAAUAGGGAUACCAGGAGAAUCUGAUGGUAGACGUAUAUUAAAAAAGCUAUUUACAUGUUAAA
rnacentral:lncRNA from 1 species